rnacentral:snRNA from 1 species
GGAUGCAAGGGCAAUUUGGGUGCAGCAUUUGUCACUCCAUUGAUAGCCAGGGUUGAAGGGUUGAUUUGGCUGAUUUGGCUGGCCACUUGCUUCAUAUGCAUCCCUCCUGAAACUGUGCCCUUAGACAAAGAUGACUGUUAGAAGAUGACUGUUCUUCCCUGCUAGAAGAUGACUGAUCUUCUGUGAAGGGUAUACAAGUAGUUGCACUCCCCUGUUAUAACCUUCAAACAGACUCUCCAGGUCCUUCAAUUAAAAAAAAAAAAAAAACUUUUUAUAUACUCAAUAAACGUAAUUUUAUU